rnacentral:rRNA from 1 species
CACGUAGGGUGCGAGCGUUUGUCCGGAAUUAUUGGGCGUAAAGAGCUCGUAGGCGGUGUGUCGCGUCGGCCGUGAAAACCUGCAGCUUAACUGUGGGCGUGCGGUCGAUACGGGCAUCACUGGAGUUCGGCAGGGGAGACUGGAAUUCCUGGUGUAGCGGUGAAAUGCGCAGAUAUCAGGAAGAACACCCGUGGCGGAAGGCGGCUCUCUGGGACGGUACUGACGCUGAGACGCGAAAGCGUGGGGAGCGAACAGG